rnacentral:tRNA from 1 species
AGAAAUUUAGGUUAAUAUAAACCAAGAACCUUCAAAGUUCUAAAUACGAGCACCCACCCUCCUAAUUUCUG